rnacentral:rRNA from 1 species
AUUGAACGCUGGCGGCAGGCCUAACACAUGCAAGUCGAGCGAGCGGCGGGCGGGUGAGUAUGUAUGGGGACUGCCCGAUAGAGGGGGCUAACUACGGGAAACGGUAGCUGAUACAGCAUCCUAUCGGAUAACCCAUAUGGGAUUAGCUAGUAGGUGCGGUAAUGGCUCACCUAGGCGACGAUCCCUAGCUGGUCUGAGAGGAUGAUCAGCCACACUGGGACUGAGACACGGCCCAGACUCCUACGGAGGCAGCAGUGGGGAAUAUUGCACAAUGGGCGCAAGCCUGAUGCAGCCAUGCCGCGUGUAUGAAGAAGGCCCUAGGGUUGUAAAGGACUUUCAGUCGGGAGGCGGUAACGACAGAAGAAGCACCGGCUAACUCCGUGCCAGCAGCCGCGGUAAUUC